rnacentral:rRNA from 1 species
UACGUAGGUGGCAAGCGUUAUCCGGAAUGAUUGGGCGUAGAGGGUGCGCAGGCGGAACCAUAAGUCUGAAGUAAAAGCCAUCGGCUCAACCGAUGUAAGCUUUGGAAACUGUGGAUCUGGAGUGCAGGAGAGGACAGUGGAAUUCCAUGUGUAGCGGUAAAAUGCGUAGAUGUAUGGAGGAACACCAGUGGCGAAGGCGGCUGUCUGGCCUGUAACUGACGCUGAGGCACGAAAGCGUGGGGAGCAAAUAGG